ACUCUCGCGGAUCCGGUUCCGCCCUCCCUCUUGCUGCCGACCCUCCGGGGCUAGCGCCCGAGUUCCCUUUCCCAGAGUCCUCUGCGCCGUGAAGAAGCGGCUCCCGGGGACCGGGGGCAUUUUGCGUUGGCUGGAGCCGGAGUAACAAGAUGGCGGCGUCGGCGGAGUGACAGGGGUCCCUCCGGGAGGGAGCCGGCAGCAGUGGUGGCAGCGGGAUCGCCGCCCUAACUCACCGCGCCCCUUUUCCAGCCCGCGACGUCGCCGCGAAAGCGAGGCAGCAGCGGCCGCCCAGACACAAGUGGCCCAGCCUGGUAACCGCGAGGACCCCUCACACACUGCGGCCUGGCGAGAAGAAACCUGCCUGAGCGGCGGUGAUCAGGUUCCCCUCGGCUGAUUCCGGGCCUGGUAACGCCGAGCCAACGCUUUCAGCUUCCUGCCGCCCUCCUCCGCAGCCUUGCUCCGGGGACGAGCCCAGAGGCCUCCGUCCUCCUCUCAGAGGUGUCGGGGCUCGGCCCCAGCCCCCGUCUGCGCCUCUCAGGAUGGCGAGCAGCAGCGGCUCCAAAGCCGAAUUCAUUGUCGGAGGGAAAUAUAAACUGGUACGGAAGAUCGGGUCUGGCUCCUUCGGGGACAUUUACCUGGCGAUCAACAUCACCAAUGGCGAGGAAGUGGCAGUGAAGCUAGAAUCUCAGAAGGCCAGGCAUCCCCAGUUGCUGUACGAGAGCAAACUCUAUAAAAUUCUUCAGGGUGGGGUUGGCAUCCCCCACAUACGGUGGUAUGGUCAGGAAAAAGACUACAAUGUGCUAGUCAUGGAUCUUCUUGGACCCAGCCUUGAAGACCUCUUCAAUUUCUGUUCGAGAAGGUUCACAAUGAAAACUGUACUUAUGUUAGCUGACCAGAUGAUCAGUAGAAUUGAAUAUGUGCAUACAAAGAAUUUUAUACACAGAGACAUUAAACCAGAUAACUUCCUAAUGGGUAUUGGGCGUCACUGUAAUAAGUGUUUAGAAUCUCCAGUGGGGAAGAGGAAAAGAAGCAUGACUGUUAGUACUUCUCAGGACCCAUCUUUCUCAGGAUUAAACCAGUUAUUCCUUAUUGAUUUUGGUUUGGCCAAAAAGUACAGAGACAACAGGACAAGGCAACACAUACCAUACAGAGAAGAUAAAAAUCUCACUGGCACUGCCCGAUAUGCUAGCAUCAAUGCACAUCUUGGUAUUGAACAGAGUCGCCGAGAUGACAUGGAAUCAUUAGGAUAUGUUUUGAUGUAUUUUAAUAGAACCAGCCUGCCAUGGCAAGGACUAAAGGCUGCAACAAAGAAACAAAAAUAUGAAAAGAUUAGUGAAAAGAAGAUGUCCACUCCUGUUGAAGUUUUAUGUAAGGGGUUUCCUGCAGAAUUUGCCAUGUACUUAAACUAUUGUCGUGGGCUGCGCUUUGAGGAAGCCCCGGAUUACAUGUAUCUGAGGCAGCUAUUCCGCAUUCUUUUCAGGACCCUGAACCACCAAUAUGACUACACAUUUGAUUGGACAAUGUUAAAGCAGAAAGCAGCACAGCAGGCAGCCUCUUCAAGUGGGCAGGGUCAGCAGGCCCAAACCCCCACAGGCAAGCAAACUGACAAAACCAAGAGUAACAUGAAAGGAACAAAGGAAUCCAUUUCUUAUUUUAACUGUUGUUGCAGUGAAGAUGGGUUUUUGGACUUUUAGAAGCCAGGAGAUACCACCUAAAGUUCAAGAUAAAAACCAAGGACUAAUGCACACUGGAGAGAAGAAUGCUUGCUUAGCACUUGAAGACCGAAUGUCGAAAUCAUGCUGAAUGCUUCUAUUGUGAUUUUUAACAUCACUGACAUCUUAGGAUAAUUCACUGGAGAAACAUUGAUCCCUGGGUGUGGAGUAUCAUAGCACACUGGACGAUCUGAAGAAUAAAAUCUGGAUUCGGCUGCUGUAUUCUGCCAGGAAUAUCGUUAGGCUAGCCUUUAACCAGUCCGUAAACAAUUGUAAAUCAUUAGUUGACUCAGCAAUUCCUCAAAUAUCAGAUUAAAGAUGAACAGAUAAAAUUCUUACCUAGGUUUCUAAGCAUGAAUCGAAGAACAGAAGAAGCAGUGCAGAUGAUCGGAGCAGCAUUUGUUUCUCCCCAAAUCUAGAAAUUUUAGUUCAUAUGUACACUAGCCAGUGGUUGUGGACAACCAUUUACUUGGUGUAAAGAACUUAAUUUCAGUAUAAACUGGCUCUGGGCAGCACUGGUGAUGCUAUGUCCCGAGUUGUAGCCGCUGUAAUUGUGAAUAUUAACUGAGAUAGUGAAACAUGGUGUCCAGUUUUCUAUUGCAUUUUUUCAAGUGGAAAAGUUAACUAAAUGGUUGACACAUACAAAUUGGUGGAGAAAUUGUGCAUAUGCCAAUUUUUUGUUAAAAUCUUUUAUUUUGAACUAUACUGCUUUGAGAUCUCAUUUCAGAAGAACGGCAUGAACAGUCUUCAGCCACAGUUGUGAUGGUUGUAAAUGCUCACAAUUGUGCAUUCUUAGGGUUUAUCUAUCCAUCCUGGGGUUUGCAAGUUGUUCACUUAAAACAUUCUUAAAAUGGUUGGCUUCUUGUUUGCAAGCCAGCUGAUAAUGGUAGCAACCAAAGAUUCCAGUGUUUUGAGCAUACGAAAGACUGCCUGCUUACCUGUGCUAGAAAUAACAGCAUCUAAAGUGAAGACUUAAGAAAAACUUAGUGACUACUAGAUUAUCCUUAGGACUCUGCAUUAACUCUAUAAUGUUCUUGAUAUUAAAAAAAAAAAAGCAUAUUUGUCACAGAAAUUUAGUUAACAUCUUAAAACUGAACAUGUAUGUAUGUUGCUUAGAUAAAUGUAAUCACUGUAAACAUCUAUAUGAUCUGGGAUUUUGUUUUUAUUUUGAAAUGGGAGCUUUUUUUGUUUACAAGUUCAUUAAAAACUAAAAACUGUUUCUGUAAGGAAAUGAGAUUUUUUUUUUAACAACAAAAAAAUGCCUUGCUGACUCACUAUGAAAUCAAAUCUCCCCAAUUUUUUAAUAGACUACUUCAAGCCAUUUGUUACAUAAUACUCCUUUGCAAAUCAUUUUAGGUUUAGUGUUAUAACUUUUCCUCAGAUUUUUUUAUUUAAAAAAUUGUUUUUUGUCUGAAGGGGAAAGGCAUUAUUAUUAUUUUUUAAUGACUUGCAGGCAUAAAUACUAAGUGCUGCAUCUGCCAGGACUUAGUAUUAUUAUAACUCCUGCAGCUUCAGACUAACAGCUGGACUGAUUUUGAAUAAGAAUGAAAGUGUUAAAGGGUUUAACUACAAAAUGAAGUUUUUAAGUGCCCUCUUAAUUGGCUUUGAGCAGAUUGACUCCCAACCUUGGAGAACAUCACACCAUUCAGAUUCAUGUGCUUGCUGACCUUCCCUAUUCCCUAGCCCACCCAUUUCUGUAAGUUAUCUGCACUUCUCUCAGUCUGAUAUGCCACUCUUCUUUCUGACCCAAGAAAAAGGUUUAUUAACAAUGCUUUUUUUAAUAGUGUAAUUUAUUCACUUAUAAGCAUGUCAGGAUAAAUUAAAACUUUCGUCUGAAAAUGCUGCCGGGAGCCUAUUGUGUAAAUGUAGGUAUUUUGUAAAAUAACCUAUAACCUUGAAAUUGUAAAUUGACACGUGUUUGGUCAGAUUGUGUCAAGCUUAAUUUUUCUUUUUUUUAUUUGACAACUACAUUAGCAAUAAUUAAUUCCAUGAUUACCACAUUCUGCCAUUAAAGGAUAAAUUAGCGCCAUCAUGCUGCAGAAAUCUUAAUGAGUAUGAACUUUUGGGGUAGGCAGCUUUGUUUUUUCCCUAUCCACCCAUGUCAGUUAAGGUAUUUGUUUCUUGACUAAUAAACCCUUUGAUACUUUUAGCCAGAAAUCAGUCUCAUAAAGCUAUUUUUAAGUAUAGUUUGUGUAAAAAAAAUGUUUAGCUUUGGUAAUAACUUUUCCAAGCUGAACUCCCUCUAGCAAGAUAUUUUUCAGUGCUUUUAUUUACUAUGCACUUAGACUAUGCACUUUUUCUGAAAUAUUUUUGUAACACUUAACUUUUUUGUAUUUUUGCCAUUUGAAAAGGUUGUGGUGUAGUUGGUCUGUAAUUAAGUUGCAGAUUUAUAACUGCUGUUAGCUUUGUAAAUCAAAAUAUAGGUGUUUUUGUCCUGGUAUAUCGUCAUUCCAUCUACAGCUGGAGCUGGAAUCCCAUUGAUCUUCUAGCUACCAUUCAUUUUCUUCACAGUUCACAAAAGAAGAAUGUGAAAUUCAGUGAAUGCUGUUACUAAUCCUGUCGGGAGAUGAAUCUCAUUUCACCAAAAUUAAAUUAUGUUUUUCCACUAAAAUGAUGAUACAAGUUGAAGACACAUCACUCAGAAAUUGGAAGACCUCACCACUUAAGGCUCCGCAGUGGCUUACUCAGCUGAACUCUAGGUUACUACUCUUUACUUUGUUUACCCAUUUGGGGGUGCAGUUUUUUUAAAUGUUGGGAGAUGGCCAUUCUAACUACUGUUGAAUGUCUCUGUUUUGGGAAGGUAUAACAAGAAAAUAAAAAAAUAUAUGUAAAGGGAGAGACUGGUUAUCUCCUCCCAUACGGUUGUGCUCAUGCUCCUAUGGCCUAUAAAUGGAAUUUCGGA